rnacentral:lncRNA from 1 species
UAUGUAUGGCUGCUCAGUCACAGGCACAAGCAUUACUAAGGCUGUGGUUUUAACUCUUUAGCUAUCUGGGUAUUUAGUCUCAGAGUAAUAAAGGAAAGCAAUUAUACACUUUAUUGCUCCUAGGCCAUUAGCAAAAACUUGUUCUCAUGCUCCCCACCUUCCAGCUGAGCCUGCUUACCCCCAGCAAGGCCCCUCUACCUGCUGUUACUAAAGACCAUGUGGGAUGCAUCUGGGGCUGAUUCCUUCUGUGCUUCUUGCAGGUAGCCUUGGUGCUAACACUAGCAGUUAGGCCUGUAUGGUGAUCCUCCUAAGGAGAACUUUUGAAUUAUUAUUUAACAGGAGGGCUUUGUAUCAGUGUUAUGAUAGUGCUGCCAUUGGCUAACCUAAUCCCUGUCUUAAUUGAUAGGUGCUCCUGUAAGGCAAGGUCUUCUGAAAUGGGUUCUGAUGUAAAACUUGUUGAUUUCAGUAUGAAGCUUUGCAGCAAAGAGAUUUCAUCUCUUAUUGGUAAUUCUGGAAGACUAGAAUGAGCCUGCUUUAUUGUAAAGAGAGGAAAAGGGCUCAGGGAGGAGCGCAGUCGGUCUCCUGCCUGCCUUUGUUUCCGAGGAGUGAAGAGCUCCGCGCACUGGGCGAUGCCUCCCUGCACAUCCACGGGCUUCUGCUCCCCUCUAAUGGCCAAGGAGGCGAGAGGCCCUUGCUGGAGACCGUGCUCUCAGGGCUCUGGUGCCAGAGGGUGCCCAUGUGUCACCCAGCUCUGCUGGGCAUCUCUGAAUCCUCCGAGUCAGCGAUUCCUCCUGCGUACACCAGUGGAUGAAGCCCUCUGACUCUGAUAUUUACUGGGUAGCUCUUCCCUCGGGUUGGAACAAGUGAUGUCCAGCGCCUGCAUUUCACCCAAACAGCUGUAAGAAGUCUCCUGCAGACUGGUGCUUACGAGGCCUCCAUGUACCUGAUAAUGUGUGUUUGCAUGCUCAGAGCUUUGGUGUUAAGAGAGCUCCUCUGUUUAUUGUGUUGUAUGAUCUGCUGUUGCCUUUUUUGUAUUAAAAAAAAAAGCUGUUCAUUGCUGCCUACAUUCUGUUUUGAAUAUCAUUUUGAAGUGCUGAAAAUGUAAGUAAUAUCUCAUUUUACAUCAGCAUCUAAGGAUUAUGUGGGCAUAAGCUUUGCAUUAGCUGAAUGCUAGCAUGAUACUCAGGGUAAUUCCUCUAGCAUCUUCUGUCAAGCUCUUUGCUGCAACGUGUUUUAAAUGCAUUUUUUAAAAAGGUUCCUUUUCAAAGUUAGGGAGUCCGCCAGGAGUAGCCAUUUGUUUCCUUAUCCUCACCAUUCCACCCCUUAAAUCUAAUUAAACUGUAUAGGUGUAACAAAGUCAUGGUUUGCCUGCCAUGCUCUCUCUCUUGGGGUAAAAAGGCAUUUUGACCAUUUUUGAUCAUGAAGGUUGUUCUUUGCUUUCAUCGUGUGGUGGAGAAG